AUUUAACAAUCGGGGUGCACGUCAGUGCUGAGAACAUACCCAUUCUCGUAUGACAAUACGGGAGGAACCUGAUCCAGGUAAUGCUGGCGUAGGGACAAUUUCCUUUCUUACUU
rnacentral:ncRNA from 1 species